rnacentral:rRNA from 1 species
AGUGAACGCUGGCGGUAGGCCUAACACAUGCAAGUCGAACGGCAGCACAGUAAGAGCUGGCUCUUACGGGUGGCGAGUGGCGGACGGGUGAGGAAUACAGCGGAAUCUACUUUUUCGUGGGGGAUAACGUAGGGAAACUUACGCUAAUACCGCAUACGACCUACGGGUGAAAGGAGGGGAUCUUCGGACCUUGCGCGAUUGAGUGAGCCGAUGUCGGAUUAGCUAGUUGGCGGGGUAAAGGCACACCAAGGCGACGAUCCGUAGCUGGUCUGAGAGGAUGAUCAGCCACACUGGAACUGAGACACGGUCCAGACUCCUACGGGAGGCAGCAGUGGGGAAUAUUGGACAAUGGGCGCAAGCCUGAUCCAGCCAUACCGCGUGGGUGAAGAAGGCCUUCGGGUUGUAAAGCCCUUUUGUUGGGAAAGAAAAGCAGCAGGUUAAUACCCCGCUGUUCUGACGGUACCCAAAGAAUAAGCACCGGCUAACUUCGUG